rnacentral:rRNA from 1 species
AUAUCAAUAAGCGGAGGAAAAGAAACCAACAGGGAUUGCCUCAGUAACGGCGAGCGAAGCGGCAAGAGCUCAAAUUUGAAAUCUGGCGUCUUAUAGGCGUCCGAGUUGUAAUUUGAAGAAGGUAACUUUGGAGACGGACCUUGCAUAUGUUCCUUGGAAUAGGACAUCAUAGAGGGUGAGAAUCCCGUAUAUGGCGAGGACCCCCGUCUCUUUGUAAAGUGCUUUCCAAGAGUCGAGUUGUUUGGGAAUGCAGCUCUAAGUGGGUGGUAAAUUCCAUCUAAGGCUAAAUAUUGGCGAGAGACCGAUAGCGAACAAGUACAGUGAUGGAAAGAUGAAAAGAACUUUGAAAAGAGAGUGAAAAAGUACGUGAAAUUGUUGAAAGGGAAGGGCUUGAAAUCAGACUUGGCUUGUAGUGAUCAACUUUCCUUCGGGGUUGUGCACUCGCUGCUUGCUAGGCCAGCAUCAGUUUUGGCGGUGAGAUAAUGACGGUUGAACGUAGCUUCGCUUCGGUGAAGUGUUAUAGCUUCUGUUGAUAUCACCAGCCGAGACUGAGGACCGCGCUUUUAGCUAGGAUGCUGGC